rnacentral:rRNA from 1 species
CACGCCGUAAACGUUGUCAACUUGAUGUGGGAGGAUUUAACCCCUUCCGUAUCGAAGCUAACGCGAUAAGUUGACCGCCUGGGGACUACGGCCGCAAGGCUAAAACUCAAAGGAAUUGACGGGGGCCCGCACAAGCGGUGGAGCAUGUGGCUUAAUUCGAGGCAACGCGAAGAACCUUACCUGGGCUUGAAAUAUAGAGGACAGUCCGUGAAAGCGGAUCUUCCUUCGGGACUUCUAUACAGGUGC